rnacentral:rRNA from 1 species
AGCGCAUUUAUUAGAACAAAACCAAUCGGGCUUCGGCCUGAGGUUUGGUGAAUCUGAAUAACUGAGCUGAUCGCAUGGUCUUUGUACCGGCGACGCAUCUUUCAAGUGUCUGCCUUAUCAACUUUCGAUGGUAGUUUAUGUGCCUACCAUGGUUGUAACGGGUAACGGAGAAUAAGGGUUCGACUCCGGAGAGGGAGCCUGAGAAACGGCUACCACAUCCAAGGAAGGCAGCAGGCGCGCAAAUUACCCACUCUCGGCACGAGGAGGUAGUGACGAAAAAUAACGAGGCGGUUCUCUAAGAGGCCCGCUAUCGGAAUGGGUACAAUUUAAACCCUUUAACGAGGACCUAUGAGAGGGCAAGUCUGGUGCCAGCAGCCGCGGUAAUUCCAGCUCUCAAGGUGUAUAUCGCCAUUGCUGCGGUUAAAAAGCUCGUAGUUGGAUCUGCGCCUUCGGACUCGGUCCUCCCAACGGGUGCGAACUGAGCUCCAAGGCUACUACUGCUGGUUUUCCCUUGAUGCUCUUCACUGGGUGUCUUGGGUGGCUAGCGAGUUUACUUUGAAAAAAUUAGAGUGUUUAAAGCAGGCUUGCGCUAUGAAUACAUUAGCAUGGAAUAAUAAUUUAGGACUUUGUUUCUAUUUUGUUGGUUUCUAGAGGCGAAGUAAUGAUUGAUAGGGACAGUUGGGGGUGCUAGUAUUCAGCGGCCAGAGGUGAAAUUCUUGGAUUCGCUGAAGACUAACUUAUGCGAAAGCAUUCACCAAGGAUGUCUUCUUUAAUCAAGAACGAAAGUUGGGGGAUCGAAGACGAUUAGAUACCGUCGUAGUCUCAACUAUAAACGAUACCGACUAGGGAUUAGUGGAAGUUGCUUAUUCGACUCCAUUAGCACCUUAUGAGAAAUCAAAGUCUUUGGGUUCCGGGGGGAGUAUGGUCGCAAGGCUGAAACUUAAAGGAAUUGACGGAAGGGCACCACCAGGAGUGGAGCCUGCGGCUUAAUUUGACCCAACACGGGGAAACUUACCAGGUCCAGACAUAGUGAGGAUUGACAGAUUGAAGUUCUUUCUUGAUUCUAUGGGUGGUGGUGCAUGGCCGUUCUUAGUUGGUGGAGUGAUUUGUCUGGUUAAUUCCGUUAACGAACGAGACCUCGACCUACUAAAUAGUUUGGCGUACCUUCGGGUACGUACGCACUUCUUAGAGGGACUGUCGGUUUUUAGCCGAAGGAAGUUCGAGGCAAUAACAGGUCUGUGAUGCCCUUAGAUGUUCUGGGCCUCACGCGCGCUACACUGAUACGUUCAUCGAGCAUACAACCUUGGCUGAGAGGCCUGGGUAAUCUUUUCAAAGCGUAUCGUGCUGGGGAUAGAUCAUUGUAAUUAUUGAUCUUCAACGAGGAAUUCCUAGUAAACGCGAGUCAUCAACUCGCAUUGAUUACGUCCCUGCCCUUUGUACACACCGCCCGUCGCUGCUACCGAUUGAAUGGAUUAGUGAGCCUCAGG